rnacentral:rRNA from 1 species
AUUGAACGCUGGCGGCAUGCCUUACACAUGCAAGUCGAACGGUAGGGGGAGCAAUCCCCUGAGAGUGGCGAACGGGUGAGUAAUGCAUCGGAACGUGCCCAGUCGUGGGGGAUAACGUAGCGAAAGCUACGCUAAUACCGCAUACGACCUGAGGGUGAAAGCGGGGGACCUGCAAGGGCCUCGCGCGAUUGGAGCGGCCGAUGUCAGAUUAGGUAGUUGGUGGGGUAAAAGCCUACCAAGCCUGCGAUCUGUAGCUGGUCUGAGAGGACGACCAGCCACACUGGGACUGAGACACGGCCCAGACUCCUACGGGAGGCAGCAGUGGGGAAUUUUGGACAAUGGGCGCAAGCCUGAUCCAGCCAUGCCGCGUGCGGGAAGAAGGCCUUCGGGUUGUAAACCGCUUUUGUACGGAACGAAAAGGUCUUUUCUAAUAAAGAAGACUCAUGACGGUACCGUAAGAAUAAGCACCGGCUAACUACGUG